rnacentral:rRNA from 1 species
UACAGAGGUCUCAAGCGUUGUUCGGAUUCAUUGGGCGUAAAGGGUGCGUAGGCGGCGCGGUAAGUCGGGGUGUGAAAUCUCGGAGCUUAACUCCGAAACUGCAUUCGAUACUGCCCGUGCUUGAGGACUGGAGAGGAGACUGGAAUUUACGGUGUAGCGGUGAAAUGCGUAGAUAUCGUAAGGAAGACCAGUGGCGAAGGCGGGUCCUCUGGACAGUUCCUGACGCUGAGGCACGAAGG